AACGCACGAGACCUGCGGACCUGCGGAGGGAUCAUUACAGAGUUACUACUCCAAACCCAUUGUGAACCUUACCUAUGUUCUGUUGCCUCGGCGGCGUGGUCAGCGCCCCUCUGAAAAGAGGACGAUGCCCUCCCGCCGGCAGCACCAAACUCUUUGAAUUUUACAGCGGAUUACAGUUCUGAUUUGAAAACAAAAAAACAAGUUAAAACUUUCAACAACGGAUCUCUAGAUCGGAAGAGC
rnacentral:misc_RNA from 1 species